rnacentral:rRNA from 1 species
UACGUAGGCAGCAAGCGUUGUUCGGAAUUACUGGGCGUAAAGAGUGUGUAGGCGGUUUUCUAAGUUCGGUGUGAAAUCUCCCGGCUUAACUGGGAGGGUGCGCCGAAAACUGGAAGGCUUGAGUGCCGGAGAGGAUAGCGGAAUUCCCGGUGUAGCGGUGAAAUGCGUAGAGAUCGGGAGGAAGGCCGGUGGCGAAGGCGGCGCUCUGGAACGUUUCUGACACUGAGGCUCGAAAGCGUGGGGAGCAAACAGG